rnacentral:tRNA from 1 species
GGCAUCAUAGCCAAGUUGGUAAGGCAGAAGCCUGCAAAGCUUUGACCAUUGGUUCGAAUCCAAUUGAUGCCU